CGGAUUCUUAAUAUUAUGAACUUUUGAAUGCUACAAUGCAAUAAUAAUGAUAUUUUAUGCAAAGAGUGAUAAAGGCUAUGCCAAAACAUUUUAUCAUGCAUAAAGUGAUUGUGCAUUUCAAUAUCUUGAUGUUUGAUACAUGGAAGUCAUUAACAAAUGCAUCUCUCACGGAUUUCACUUUUGUGAAUUUUUAAUGAGAAAUGGAUUUGAUGUAAUGCUCUUCUAACUAUGAAGUUUUAUUCAUGAAUUUCUCCUUCAUGUGAUACUCCUCUCCCAUGAAUUCUUCCUUU
rnacentral:lncRNA from 1 species